rnacentral:rRNA from 1 species
UACCAGCACCCCGAGUGGUCGGGACGAUUAUUGGGCCUAAAGCAUCCGUAGCCGGUCCUACAAGUCUUCCGUUAAAUCCACCUGCUCAACAGAUGGGCUGCGGAAGAUACUAUAGGGCUAGGAGGCGGGAGAGGCAAGCGGUACUCAGUGGGUAGGGGUAAAAUCCUCUGAUCCAUUGAAGACCACCAGUGGCGAAGGCGGCUUGCCAGAACGCGCUCGACGGUGAGGGAUGAAAGCUGGGGG